rnacentral:tRNA from 1 species
GGAGUGAUGACCGAGAGGCCGAAGGUGCUCCCCUGCUAAGGGAGUAUACGGGCUAAAACCCGUAUCGAGGGUUCGAAUCCCUCUCACUCCG